CAGCAGCCGCGGGAAUACGGAGGGAGCUAGCGUUAUUCGGAAUUACUGGGCGUAAAGCGCACGUAGGCGGCUUUGUAAGUUAGAGGUGAAAGCCUGGAGCUCAACUCCAGAAUUGCCUUUAAGACUGCAUCGCUUGAAUCCAGGAGAGGUGAGUGGAAUUCCGAGUGUAGAGGUGAAAUUCGUAGAUAUUCGGAAGAACACCAGUGGCGAAGGCGGCUUACUGGCUCAUACUGGACGCUGAGGUGCGAAAGCGUGGGGAGCAAACAGGAUUAGAGACCCCUGUAGUCCCUGUCUCUUAUAC
rnacentral:rRNA from 1 species